UCAGGAUGAACGCUGGCGGCGUGCCUAACACAUGCAAGUCGAACGAAGCACUUCAUCGGAGAUUCGUCGAAGAUGGAUUGACUUAGUGGCGGACGGGUGAGUAAUGUGUGAGCAACCUGCCUUCAGAGGGGGACAACAGCUGGAAACGGCUGCUAAUACCGCAUAAUGUAUUUGGGCGGCAUCGCCUGGAUACCAAAGGAGCAAUCCGCUGAAAGAUGGGCUCACAUCUGAUUAGCUAGUUGGUGAGGUAACGGCUCACCAAGGCUGCGAUCAGUAGCCGGACUGAGAGGUUGAACGGCCACAUUGGGACUGAGAUACGGCCCAGACUCCUACGGGAGGCAGCAGUGGGGAAUAUUGGGCAAUGGGCGAAAGCCUCGACCCAGCAACGCCGCGUGAAGGAAGAAGGUCUUCGGAUUGUAAACUUCUUUUAUGAGGGACGAAGGACGUGACGGUACCUCAUGAAUAAGCCACGGCUAACUACGUGCCAGCAGCAGC
rnacentral:rRNA from 1 species